rnacentral:rRNA from 1 species
UACGUAGGGUGCGAGCGUUGCCCGGAUUUAUUGGGCGUAAAGCGCACGUAGGCGGCUUUGCAAGUCGGAUGUGAAAUCCCUCGGCUUAACCAAGGAAGUGCAUCCGAAACUGCAGAGCUUGAGUACUUAAGAGGAUCGCGGAAUUCCCGGUGUAGAGGUGAAAUUCGUAGAUAUCGGGAGGAACACCAGUGGCGAAGGCGGCGAUCUGGGAAGAUACUGACGCUGAGGUGCGAAAGCGUGGGGAGCAAACAGG